UACGGAGGAUGCGAGCGUUAUCCGGAUUUAUUGGGUUUAAAGGGUGCGUAGGCGGAUUUUAAGUCAGCGGUAAAAUGUCCGGGCUCAACCCGGGCCGGCCGUUGAAACUGGGGAUCUUGAGUGGGCGAGAAGUAUGCGGAAUGCGUGGUGUAGCGGUGAAAUGCAUAGAUAUCACGCAGAACUCCGAUUGCGAAGGCAGCAUACCGGCGCCCGACUGACGCUGAGGCACGAAAGCGUGGGGAUCGAACAGG
rnacentral:rRNA from 1 species